rnacentral:lncRNA from 13 species
UACAAGUCAAAGUAAACAGAAUUUCUCAGUUUCAUCUGGAGUAAAAUAUGGGGCAUAUAGAAUCUAAGGAAUGUAACUUGUUUAUACAAUUAUUGCAAAAAAUGAUUAAGUCACAUGGACAUGAUAUUAAGCUAAAAACUGUGGAGGAAUUUGUGCACAUUAUUCGUGAAAUUUGCCCAUGGGUUCCAGAAGGAGGAAUAUUGGGGGAAACUGCAUGGCAUGAAAUUGGUGAGAAAAUUGAACAAUAUGCCUCUCAUAAUGAAGCUUUACCUCAAACCGAGGUUUUACUUUCUGUUUUGUCUAAACUUAAAGACAGUGUCUGCUCCUCUCAAGCGAAACCUGCUCGCCCUUGCUCUCACAAUGCUAUUUCUUCCCCUGCUGCUGCCUUCUCCCCUCCUGCUUCUAAACUUGAUCCUCUCGAUCAAAUGGAGCGUGGUAUUAACCAUUCUUCUUCUAGACAUUCACUCAUGGAUAGCUGCCGACUUGUGACAGAGGCUGUUUUAAAAGAGCCCGACAGGUCUGCUGAUUCACCUAUUUGGGUUCCUGAACGCCUUGUGAAGCAUGAACAUAAACGAAGUCCAAACUCCUUGAUCCCGAGAUUUCGUCAACUGCGAGUGACGACUUCUGCUCGUCGCAGACUCCAGUCCCGACAGAACAACAGAUGUAAUUCAUCAUAUCAUGAUGUAUCUCUACCUUCCUGGAAUCAACUUCACCGUCUUAGUGCUGAAGCCUCUAAUCUUGUUCGGCAACAAAGACAUUCUAGAAAUCCUGUUACCUUGUUUCUUGCUAUGCUUACUAUUUUGGCUUGUGAACAAGCUACUCCCUUUCCUGUGCCUCAUUCUCCCCCCUCUACCCAUCAAACUCUGUGGGCUUAUGUUCCUAAUCCACCUGUCUUAAGACCUGUUACUUGGGAUGAUCCUGCUUUUCCUAUUUACAUUAAUGAUACCUCUAUGCUUGGUUUUCCUUCUUCCUCUCAUAUUACUCCUCAAAUUGCCAAUUAUACAUAUACAGCUCAGGCCAUUGCUCCUCCUAUGUGUUUUUAUGCUUCUUUCAUAUAUGAUAAAUUUUCUUACAGUGAUUAUGUCUCUUUACAACCUUCCCCUCCUCUGCCUAUUCCUAGAGACUUUUGUUUUCCUCUAAGAGUUAAACAAUUACAAACAUACAAUGGCCCUUCCACUCUCUUCCCUGCUGAGUCUAUUUCUGAAAGAGAUUAG